rnacentral:rRNA from 1 species
CCUACGGGAGGCAGCAGUGGGGAAUAUUGCACAAUGGGGGAAACCCUGAUGCAGCGACGCCGCGUGAGUGAAGACGUAAUUCUGUAUGGAAAGCUCUAUCAGCAGGGAAGAAAAUGACGGUACCUAAGUAAUAAGCCCCGGCUAACUACGUGCCAGCAGCCGCGGUACUACGUAGGGGGCAAGCGUUAUCCGGAGUUACUGGGUGUAAAGGGAGCGUAGACGGCAGUGCAAGUCUGGAGUGAAAGGCGGGGGCUCAACCCCCGGACUGCUGUGGAAACUGUACGGCUGGAGUGCAGGAGAGGUGAGUGGAAUUCGUGGUGUAGCGGUGAAAUGCGUAGAUAUUACGAGGAACACCAGUGGCGAAGGCGGCUUACUGGACUGUAACUGACGUUGAGGCUCGAAAGCGUGGGGAGCAAACAGGAUUAGAUACCCUAGUAGUC